rnacentral:rRNA from 1 species
AUUGACCGCUGGCGGCAGGCCUAACACAUGCAAGUCGAACGAGUGGCGGACUGGUGAGUAAUGUCUGGGAAACUGCCCGAUGGAGGGGGAUAACUACUGGAAACGGUAGCUAAUACCGCAUACCAUCGGAUGUGCCCAUAUGGGAUUAGCUAGUAGGUGGGGUAACGGCUCACCUAGGCGACGAUCCCUAGCUGGUCUGAGAGGAGGACCAGCCACACUGGAACUGAGACAGGGUCCAGACUCCUACGGGAGGAAGAAGUGGGGAAUAUUGCACAAUGGGCGCAAGCCUGAUGCAGCCAGGCCGCGUGUAUGGAGAAGGCCUUCGGGUUGUAAAGUACUUUCAGCGGGGAGGCGUUACUCGCAGAAGAAGCACCGGCUAACUCCGUGCCAGCAGCCGCGGUAAUAC